GUGGGGAAUAUUGGACAAUGGGCGCAAGCCUGAUCCAGCAAUGCCGCGUGGGUGAAGAAGGUCUUCGGAUCGUAAAGCCCUUUCGACAGGGACGAUGAUGACGGUACCUGUAGAAGAAGCCCCGGCUAACUUCGUGCCAGCAGCCGCGGUAAUACGAAGGGGGCUAGCGUUACUCGGAAUUACUGGGCGUAAAGGGCGCGUAGGCGGCUCUGUUAGUCAGGCGUGAAAUUCCUGGGCUUAACCUGGGGACUGCGCUUGAUACUGCAGGGCUUGAGGCCGAGAGAGGGUGGUGGAAUUCCCAGUGUAGAGGUGAAAUUCGUAGAUAUUGGGAAGAACACCGGUGGCGAAGGCGACCACCUGGCUCGGUUCUGACGCUAAGGCGCGACAGCGUGGGGAGCAAACAGGAUUAGAUACCCUUGUAGUCC
rnacentral:rRNA from 1 species